GAUGAACGCUAGCGGGAGGCUUAACACAUGCAAGUCGAGGGGCAGCACGAGGUAGCAAUACUUUGGUGGCGACCGGCAGACGGGUGAGUAACGCGUAUGUAACCUACCCUGUACAGGGGGAUAACCCGGAGAAAUUCGGACUAAUAUCCCAUAAUGAUAUUUUGAGGCAUCUUAGAAUAUUUAAAGCUUCGGCGGUACUGGAUGGGCAUGCGUAAGAUUAGCUAGUUGGUAGGUAACGGCCUACCAAGGCUCCGAUCUUUAGGGGUCCUGAGAGGGUGAUCCCCCACACUGGUACUGAGACACGGACCAGACUCCUACGGGAGGCUG
rnacentral:rRNA from 1 species